UUCCCGUCCGGUUGACAGAUCAACUCUGCGGAGCUUCGGCGAGCCAGCUAAAUAUGGUGAAGUUGCUUUUCUGACACCGACAGGAAGAGGCGGGCGCAGCGGCCGCGGACGUCAGCGCCAUCAUCUCCGCCCACACCUAAAGAUGGUAGCGGGCGCGGAAGGCCACGAGACGGGCAUAGUAUGCUGGAGCUGGGAUGGAGACCGAGCGGGUACAACGCACGACACGUACCUCAUAGAGGCCAGGUGGCGCAUGGCCACGUCGAGGGCUUGGACCGAGUCGAGGGGGACCUGCAGCCGGCCGCUGACCAGAGUCUCCUGCAGCAGGCGCCACGACACCUUGGCCAGCCAACGGAUUGACACCUUAAAUAUUCGGUCCUUUCCCUCACCUGGAAUGGUUACCUCGAAAUCCACCUGGAGCGUCACACAAAAGACAGACAAGCUGUUACUGAGGAAACUCAAACAUUAUUUUACAUAUCAAAUUAAUUCUUUUUUUGACAAGUCCCCAAAAACAACCUAUUUGUCAUUUAUGCCUUAUCCUAACUAAAUACUAACCUGGUGUACUAAUAUUACCAUUACUGUGUAUAACAAGUAACAACAUAGAGCUCAAGUCUUGGUGCAGACAUAUGUGCAGAAGUGGCCUAUAUUGACCACUUAUAGAUGUGUUCUGCUUUGUUUUUAUUGUCCUGGUAGGAUCUGUAGGACCUCUGCAAUGCAACUGACUGGACUAAUCAUAACUGGUGCAGUCUGUGUUGCUGCUACACAUCUGGGAAGAAACACAUCAGGCCACUACACUACUAAGUACAGUACCAACUCGUACCUUCUCACUCCCAAUCGGAAGCGCUAGCACCGUGUAUAUGUUCUUCUUGCCAUCAUACACUGGCUUCCUGUCACCAAAAAGCUGGGGCUUGAAGUGUUGCACCAUGUACUCCACCACCUCCCUGUAUGAAGCGGGACACAAAAACUCAAAAUAUGAGAAACAAAAAGGACUCAUCUCUGCCAACUAAACUCGUCAGCUAUAAGAUGCUCUAUAUGAUUAGCAGAGGGGGCGUAUCACUUAGGAUGAAUAUCGAUCAAGCAGGAUACAGCUGGUGGAUGCAAUACCUCAUCAUCACGGGGGGAGAGGCAGGAACAAAAAGAGAUAGGGUGUGGACAGGGGGCCACCUUUCAGUGCACGGUGCCUUGGCCUUCGUACAAGUGUGGGGGAUGAGAAGUCCUUGUAAAAGAAAAGGUUAAAGGCCUCGACCUCUGCAUGCCUUUGACCCUUUGUCUUGAAUUUUAAGGCUGAGGGAGACUGAAACUCCAACAGUCCUCUCUAAAAGUAUGGGAAAAAGGCUACAAGGGCAAAGUCUCCGACUUGUCGAGUUUAUUUUCAUUAAAUGAAGAGCUGUGUUUCUAGUAUUUGUGUUCACAACACUGAACACAGGAAAAUAAAGCAUGCGGGCACCUAGUUUGGUUUAGUCAUAAACACGAUGGUUUUCUAGUUAUUCCUGUCAUGUUCACAAUAUGUAUUCAUACAUCUUCAGCAAAUACACAAGACAAAUUCAACAUUUAUUAAUGUAUCAGAGCAUAAAUUUAAGUGUCAGCAGCACGUGGCGGAGCUACGUCUAAAUACAAACUGAUGCCUCUCCCUAACGAGGAAGUGGUAAAGUUUCCAUCAAGGUUAUAGAACAGUUUAUAAAGACAGGAGAACGUGCAUAUUAUUUUCCUGCUCCUAGCCUGACACAUAACACUAAGUGCAAACAAAGAUGACCGUGGAACAUGAUAGUCAAUUAGACCUGGUUAACAGUCAUCCUGCGGUUAAGAGCAUCAAUUUCGGCGUAGAGCUGGAACUGAGAGCAAAAGUGGAAAUGACACUUAUCUCUUGUUAAAAUGAGGAAUUCUCAUGAAACAAAUGUGAUGAAGCAUAUUUGCUGUGCUGUGGUCUUCAGUCACCCUAGAGAACAUGACCUAAGUGGAGAAUGCGGACUGCACACUUGUUUGUACAUGUUGAUAAUUUAUUGCAGGAACUGAGAGAGGAAUAAAUGUGAGAAAUGACAACAAUUUAGAUUUCCUUGCAGCUGAAAAGACAAUAAAACAGCCCAGUACA